AGCGAACGCUGGCGGCAGGCUUAACACAUGCAAGUCGAGCGGGCAUCCUUGUGGUGUCAGCGGCAGACGGGUGAGUAACGCGUGGGAACGUGCCCUUCGGUUCGGAAUAACUCAGGGAAACUUGAGCUAAUACCGGAUACGUGCGAGAGCAGAAAGGUUUAUCUGCCGAAGGAUCGGCCCGCGUCUGAUUAGCUAGUUGGUGAGGUUAUGGCUCACCAAGGCGACGAUCAGUAGCUGGUCUGAGAGGAUGAUCAGCCACACUGGGACUGAGACACGGCCCAGACUCCUACGGGAGGCAGCAGUGGGGAAUAUUGGACAAUGGGGGCAACCCUGAUCCAGCCAUGCCGCGUGAGUGAUGACGGCCUUAGGGUUGUAAAGCCCUUUUCUUCGGGACGAUAAUGACGGUACCGGAGGAAUAAGCCCCGGCUAACUUCGUG
rnacentral:rRNA from 1 species